CCUACGGGAGGCAGCAGUAAGGAAUAUUGGACAAUGCUCGCAAGAGUGAUCCAGCCAUGCCGCGUGCAGGAAGAAUGCCCUAUGGGUAGUAAACUGCUUUUGAACUAGAGAAAACCCCAGUACGUGUACUGGGCUGAUAGUAUAGUUAGAAUAAGCAUCGGCUAACUUCGUGCCAGCAGCCGCGGUAAGACGAAGGAUGCAAGCGUUAUCCGGAUUCAUUGGGUUUAAAGGGAGCGUAGGUGGACUGAUAAGUCAGUGGUGAAAUCUCCGAGCUUAACUCGGAAAUUGCCAUUGAUACUGUUGGUCUUGAGUACAGUUGCUGUGGCGGAAUAUGACAUGUAGUGGUGAAAUACAUAGAGAUGUCAUAGAACACCGAUUGCGAAGGCAGCUCACAAAGCUGUAACUGACACUGAGGCUCGAAAGUGCGGGGAUCAAACAGGAUUAGAUACCCUGGUAGUCCGCACCGUAAACGAUGAUUACUCGCUGCUAGGGGGCAACCUUUAGUGGCUUAGCGAAAGCGAUAAGUAAUCCACCUGGGGAGUACGCCGGCAACGGUGAAACGUCAAAUGAAAUUGACGGCGNGAGGACGNGCGACGGACGACGACGAGGGGAGGAGG
rnacentral:rRNA from 1 species